UAGAGAUGAAGAAGAAAAUUCAUGUUGAGAACUUUCGCUAGCUCUGUAGACAUUUUUAUUAUGUCACUGGGUUCGCGAUUGUUUUGAAUGUGAAGAUAACCUCAAUAUUCAUAA
rnacentral:precursor_RNA from 12 species